AGAGUUUGAUCCUGGCUCAGAUUGAACGCUGGCGGCAUGCCUUACACAUGCAAGUCGAACGGCAGCGCGGGGGCAACCUGGCGGCGAGCGGCGAACGGGUGAGUAAUAUAUCGGAACAUACCCUAGAGUGGGGGAUAACGUAGCGAAAGUUACGCUAAUACCGCAUACGCACUAAGGUGGAAAGUGGGGGAUCUUCGGACCUCAUGCUCAUGGAGUGGCCGAUAUCUGAUUAGCUAGUUGGUGAGGUAAAGGCUCACCAAGGCGACGAUCAGUAGCUGGUCUGAGAGGACGACCAGCCACACUGGGACUGAGACACGGCCCAGACUCCUACGGGAGGCAGCAGUGGGGAAUUUUGGACAAUGGGGGCAACCCUGAUCCAGCAAUGCCGCGUGAGUGAAGAAGGCCUUCGGGUUGUAAAGCUCUUUUGUCAGGGAAGAAACGGUGAGGGCUAAUAUCCCUUGCUAAUGACGGUACCUGAAGAAUAAGCACCGGCUAACUACGUG
rnacentral:rRNA from 1 species